AGCAGCCGCGGUAAUUCCAGCUCCAAUAGCGUAUAUUAAAGUUGUUGCAGUUAAAAAGCUCGUAGUUGAAUUUCGGGGUCAGUAGUUUGGUCGUGCCACUGGUAUGUACUGGGCUCACUGAUUCCUCCUUCCUGAUGAACUGUAAUGCCAUUAAUUUGGUGUUGCGGGGAAACUGGACUGUUACUUUGAAAAAAUUGAGUGUUUAAAGCAAGCUAACGCUUGAAUACAUUAGCAUGGAAUAAUGAAAUAGGACGUUCGAUCCUAUUUUGUUGGUUUCUAGGAUUGACGUAAUGAUUAAUAGGGAUAGUUGGGGGCAUUAGUAUUCAAUUGUCAGAGGUGAAAUUCUUGGAUUUAUUGAAGACUAACUACUGCGAAAGCAUUUGCCAAGGAUGUUUUCAUUAAUCAAGAACGAAAGUUAGGGAUCGAAGACGAUCAGAUACCGUCGUAGUCUUAACCAUAAACUAUGCCGACUAGGGAUCGGAUGAUGUUAAUUUUUAUGACUUCAUUCGGCGCCUUACGG
rnacentral:rRNA from 1 species